UCUAAGUAUAAAUAGUAUACAGUGAAACUGCGAAUGGCUCAUUAAAACAGUUAUAGUUUAUUUGAUAAUGGAAAGCUACAUGGAUAACCGUGGUAAUUCUAGAGCUAAUACAUGCUGUUAAACCUGACUUUUUGGAAGGGUUGUAUUUAUUAGAUAUUAAAGCCAAUAUUCCUUCGGGUCUAUUGUGGUGAAUCAUAGUAACUGAUCGAAUCUCUUCUUGAGAUAAAUCAUUCAAGUUUCUGCCCUAUCAGCUUUCGAUGGUAGUGUAUUGGACUACCAUGGCAGUCACGGGUAACGGGGAAUUAGGGUUCGGUUCCGGAGAGGGAGCCUGAGAAACGGCUACCACAUCUAAGGAAGGCAGCAGGCGCGUAAAUUACCCAAUCCUGAUUCAGGGAGGUAGUGACAAGAAAUAACAACCUGGGGGACUUUGUCCUUACGGGAUUGCAAUGAGAACAAUUUAAAUGACUUAUCGAGGAACAAUUGGAGGGCAAGUCUGGUGCCAG
rnacentral:rRNA from 1 species